AUUGCAUUUGGUGUCAUCAACCUCUCAAAGAUGUCCUGCAUCGGUGUUUUCCUCAGUGAAGCCACAUCCGAUCCUGAAACUAUCGAGCGUGUGCUCUCAUUUACUUUCGCAGACAAUGGAUCAUGAACCAAGCGGUGUCCGCGGAUCUUCGAGGGUGUAUUAUUUGGUGACGAAAGUUCCUCUAUUUCCUCCUCUGAAUCUGUAUUUCCAAUCUUUGCUUGCCGAUUCCGUUUCCCCGCCCCUUUCGCUGAAACUGAACUCAUUUUUGGGCGAAGCAGGGAUUUUCGUACCCUUCGCCUUCGUCCUUUCGGAACAUGAAUUUCUUCAUUAUCUUCGCUUUCUUCGGCAGAUGGAGACGAGGAGCUGUUCAACCUUCGUGGCCUAGGGUGUAGCGGUGUGUCACUGAUACCCUGCAAGCUUCCAGAAUUUUCUAGAUCCUUUAGUUGUCGAUAUAUGGCUUUUUGAGACCAGUCAAAAGUCGCCGUUUGUGCGUCUUCCAUCAUCUCAAUGAGAAAUCCAGCUCUUGCACGGAUCAAAUCCAGAGCAUAUGUCAGAGAACUCAUUUCAUAUCGUUUUAGAAGCGUUUCAGCAACAGUUGUCACAUUAAGCCGACGUUUAGAGAGAAGGCCCGAUUCUUUCAUAUCCAAAACAACCUCGAAAAUUGUAUCAGCUUGGGCCUUUCCCACGGCCGAGGCAUCGGGUGACACAUCUGAUUCUUCGUCUGAUUCACUCUUCUCUUGGGCCUCGUCAGCAGCUGCCUCAGCCCGCUCGAAUACAUCCUUUGAAGUGAAGUUAGAAUUCGGAGUUUAUUUCAUUGUGAAGCGGAUUUCAUCAACAGAGAUCUUGCUACGAGCUACCAUACCAGAUACAGUUCACGUAGGUGAGCAUAAAUGGGAGUCGAAGCCCAAUCCACAUUCUCCUUACCCCGUACCAUCUGGUUAAUGAGGAACUCGUGGUGUUUGUAGAACACCUCCGCUGAGUCCUCCGCGUCCUCGCAGGUCCCAUUGGUAUGCUUGGUAUACUAUCGAGAGAAGGGUGGAAAUCUACUUUUGGGUUCCAUUUUUUACCCCGCUUCCGGCUCUUCUGGUGCUUAUCCGCGAGAAAAUAUAGAAGAUCAAUGGCUUCGACCAUUUCGUUGAACAUCGGUUUAUAUCCUCUGGCUGGCGAGAUAGAAAACCAACCUGCCACGCCCGCAACCCACAAGCCGAUCUCGCCAUCGUCGUGCUGACCGUAGGCAUAAUGGGUGACAUUAUCAAUGAGGACUCGUUUGUUUCGGUAGGAGUCAUCGAGGACUGUUGGAGGGAGCAGAGUUAGGACAAUGAAAAAGAAAAUCAACGCUGGACAUAUUCUCCAUACCAAGCUCUUCCUGCUCUUCCUCUACAAUUUCCAAUUGACCUGUGACACGAACAGGAUUGUCUACCGAAGCAAACAAGACGUUUGCAUAUCGUGUCUUGCCUGGAACAAGAACCUUGACGUCGGUUAGGGCGAACUCUUCCCAGUCAUUCUCAUCUCUAAGGGAAGCGUCUCUAGCAGCGAGGACAUUCUCGAUUCGCGUUGUCAUAUCUCCAAAAACAUCAUGAUGCCUUCAGAUGGAGUUGUGAGUCGACGCGCAUUAAUGGAGGCAAGGCCUUGCUGGUUUUCGAAACGAAUGUGGAGCUAAGACUUUCCCCAAACGGUCACCGUUCCGUAUCUAUGGAAAGUCGGAAAAUCCAUUAUGUCUCCACAAUCAAUAUAAAACUAAGGAAUGGUUGGUAAUAUACAAAUGGGAGGAUACAUAACGUAUUAUCAAUCUUUCAGAAAAUAAAAGUAUCCUAUAUUAGAUGAGAUAUUAGGGGUAUC
rnacentral:sRNA from 2 species